rnacentral:rRNA from 1 species
GCUCAGAAACUCAAAGGAAUUGACGGGGCCGCACAAGCGGUGGAGCAUGUGGUUAAUUCGAUGAUACGCGAGGAACCUUACCUGGGCUCAAAUGUAUGUUGACGUAUUCUGAAAGGGAUACUUCUUCGGACAAUAUACAAGGUGCUGCAUGGUUGUCGUCAGCUCGUGCCGUGAGGUGUCGGGUUAAGUCCCAUAACGAGCGCAACCCCUAUCAUUAGUUGCCAUCAGGUCAAGCUGGGGACUCUAAUGAAACUGCCUACGCAAGUAGUGAGGAAGGUGGGGAUGACGUCAAAUCAGCACGGCCCUUACGUCCAGGGCUACACACGUGCUACAAUGGCCGGUACAAAGGGCAGCUACCUGGUGACAGGAUGCUAAUCUCAAAAGCCGGUCUCAGUUCGGAUCGGAGUCUGCAACCCGACUCCGUGAAGCUGGAAUCGCUAGUAAUCGUGAAUCAGAAUGUCACGGUGAAUACGUUCCCGGGCCUU